rnacentral:rRNA from 1 species
GACGAACGCUGGCGGCGUGCCCAAUACAUGCAAGUUGAGCGCUGAAGGUUGGUACUUGUACCAACUGGAUGAGCAGCGAACGGGUGAGUAACGCGUGGGGAAUCUGCCUUUGAGCGGGGGACAACAUUUGGAAACGAAUGCUAAUACCGCAUAAAAACUUUAAACACAAGUUUUAAGUUUGAAAGAUGCAAUUGCAUCACUCAAACAUGAUCCCGCGUUGUAUUAGCUAGUUGGUGAGGUAAAGGCUCACCAAGGCGAUGAUACAUAGCCGACCUGAGAGGGUGAUCGGCCACAUUGGGACUGAGACACGGCCCAAACUCCUACGGGAGGCAGCAGUAGGGAAUCUUCGGCAAUGGACGAAAGUCUGACCGAGCAACGCCGCGUGAGUGAAGAAGGUUUUCGGAUCGUAAAACUCUGUUGGUAGAGAAGAACGUUGGUGAGAGUGGAAAGCUCAUCAAGUGACGGUAACUACCCAGAAAGGGACGGCUAACUACGUG